rnacentral:lncRNA from 1 species
AAACAAAACACUAUUUUAGGUGCUGGGAAUAUAGCAGUGAACAAAGCACAGAACUCUGCCUUCAUGGAGCUUGCAUUCCAGCAGGAAGAUCGAGACAAGAAACAAUACAUGUAACAGAUAAGCAAUUCACGAGGUUUAUUAGAAGGUGAGAAGUAUAUUGAAAAAGGUGAGAAGUAUAUUGAAAAAUGAAAAAGCAGAACAAGGUGAGGAACUUCAGUUGUGGGCAGAAGGGAAGCAGGUUGCAGAAGGAAACAUGAGUGCAGCAGGUGAGGCAGGUGACAUUGUCUUUCCAAAAACUGGAUUUUACAUAUUUGAAUAGUUCUUCCAAUAAUCAUUCACGGUGUCUUAUCUUUCGAGUAGCAUUUCUUUUUUUUUUUUUUUUGAGACACGGUCUCACUCUCACCCACUCCCUCUGUCUCACGGUGUCACUCUGUCAUUCCACCCAGGCUGGAGCGCAGUGGUGCAAUCACGACUCAUUGCAGCCUCAACCUCCUGGGCUCAAGCAAUCCUCCCACCUCAGCCUCCUGAGUAUCUGGUACUACAGGAAUGUGCCACCAUGCCUGGCUAAUUUUUAUUUUUUGUAGAGAUGAGGUUUCACUGUGUUGUCCAGGCUGGUCUUGACCUCUUGGGCUCAAGUGAUCCUCCCACCUUGGCCUCUCAAAGUGCUGGGAUUAUAGGUGUGAGCCACUGUGCCUGGCCUGAAGUGCUAUUUCUUUAACAGCUGCUUUUGGUAUCAAUACCCUGUUGGUUAUUAGUUUAAAAUUUUAGUCAAUGAUGCUUUUUGGGUGGGUGUGAAGGGGGAAGAAAAUCUUGAGCAUGUAAUGACUUAAAUUGUUUCCCAAAUCAAAUUAAAUUCUGGGCCAGUAUAAGACCUACACACUCACAUUUCACAAGUGAGGGCAUGGAUGGGGGUAGGGGCAGGCAGGGAAAGGAGAAAAGAGGACAAUCAGCACCCCUGAGGGGCUGAACAUAGGGGGCAUCCAAAACGUGCUUGCUGUGGGAAGAAUGGCCUCAGGAAAUCCUGACCCAAAUCCUGCACACAGUGUGGGCAGAUCUCACCUAUUCUGUUAAAGGGUCCAAUCAUUUUUUGUUUUAACCUGAAGGAUUUAAAUUGAAGUAGCAUAGGUAUAACUUAUGAAGUAUUCAAAGUGUCCUAGCUUACUCACUCUCUCAUUUUUUUAAUUUUUAAUACCGUUAGCUGUUUUUUAAUAACUGGCACUCAGAUAGUGUAUAAUUAUUCUACUAUACAUGUCUCCGGGAAAAAAAAAUUCUUUCUCCAUGUGGCGAGGCAAGGAAGUCUUCGUGUUCCACCACCGCAGGCUGUUUGGCAGGAGUGGUCUGUUUAAUGAUCUCCCCCAGCUGUGCUCACUGAGUCAGUGAGCUCUGCAUCUGCCUCUCUGUCUGCAUGUUGUCUGGGCUGUGAUCCAUGUGAGGAGUGCAGAUUAGUGGGGAGGAUAAACAGCAUCACUUCAAUGAGACGGUGGAGCCAGAGGCCUGUUUUUUAUCUUAUGAUGGUGUGCAAGCUUCUCUCUAGCAACCUCCAAACAGUCACUGAAUUAAUGGCUAUUUUCAAGGGAGAGAAAAGACUCUCAGGCUAUGUCAGAUUCUCAGAGUUUGGUAAUCUGGAAAGGGUUAAGAACUUGCUGCCAUAAUUCUAUCACAGACUGCUCUUGCUUCUACAGAAAAACAAAAAACAAAAAACACGGAGCAUCUUAAGAAGAAUCUCCUAUCUGAAUCUAAGACAAGAAAAUGGCAUUUUUGUCUACUUUUAUUUGCAGUGAUGGCAUUUUUGUCUACUUGUAUUUGCAAUGUUUAUUCUGUCUUCCCUCUACCCCCUCACACCAGCACCAAUUAUUCCACACCUGCUGGUGAACAAGCAGAGGCCUCUUUACACCUAUAUCCGCAUGGUCUUCAUUACUGGAUUGAGAAAAACACUGAUGAUGAAGUAGUUUUCCGCCCAUUACCUGUCUCUAAUAAUAUGCUUGUCAUCACAAUUAGUUUCACCAUCCCUGGCUUGCUUUUCUGUCAUUUCUUUCCCUUGAGUUCUGUUAAUAGCAGAAAUUGGCUGCUAAACUAUUAUUCUGGUCUGUGUAAUGGGGCUGAUGGCAGAAACAUUCUGCUUCUUUUGACAACUGGGUAUGAUUUGUAAAGGUGUGAAGAAGAAUUGCUAAUACUUCUGGGCUCCAUUACAUUAACCUGGAAGGCAUUCUACCCAAGAAAUGAAUCCAAUAUUAAAUUGCC